rnacentral:miRNA from 1 species
CAUAUAAAUUGUCUGCGACACU